rnacentral:rRNA from 1 species
UACGUAGGUGGCAAGCGUUAUCCGGAUUUACUGGGUGUAAAGGGCGUGUAGGCGGGAGUGCAAGUCAGAUGUGAAAACUAUGGGCUCAACCCAUAGCCUGCAUUUGAAACUGUACUUCUUGAGUGCUGGAGAGGCAAUCGGAAUUCCGUGUGUAGCGGUGAAAUGCGUAGAUAUCACACAGAACACCGAUUGCGAAGGCAUCUCACGAAUCCGCGAUUGACGCUGAUGCACGAAAGCGUGGGUAUCAAACAGG